AAAAUUUCAAUGAUGACAAUACAAUCAAAUCAGUUAUCCCUGUCCGAAAAGACUAUGUGGAGAAAUAUUGUAGUCUGAAUUUUUU
rfam:Basidiobolus meristosporus CBS 931.73 K493scaffold_495, whole genome shotgun sequence.